AUUGAACGCUGGCGGCAUGCCUUACACAUGCAAGUCGAACGGCAGCGGACCUUCGGGUGCCGGCGAGUGGCGAACGGGUGAGUAAUAUAUCGGAACGUACCUUUCAGUGGGGGAUAACGUAGCGAAAGUUACGCUAAUACCGCAUAUUCUGUGAGCAGGAAAGCAGGGGAUCGCAAGACCUUGCGCUGAUUGAGCGGCCGAUAUCAGAUUAGCUAGUUGGUGAGGUAAAGGCUCACCAAGGCGACGAUCUGUAGCGGGUCUGAGAGGAUGAUCCGCCACACUGGAACUGAGACACGGUCCAGACUCCUACGGGGGGCAGCAGUGGGGAAUUUUGGACAAUGGGCGCAAGCCUGAUCCAGCCAUGCCGCGUGAGUGAAGAAGGCCUGG
rnacentral:rRNA from 1 species